ensembl:lncRNA
GGGAUGUGAGUGCGGGGCGGUCUCUCAGUGCUGUGGAGCAGCGGGAGGAAGAGGUCUAUCGCUGAAGGACACCAGGAGGAGAACCUAGGAGGAGGAGAUACCAUCAGGAGGAGAUACCAGGAGGCAGCAGGAGGAGUCAGCAGGAGGAGCAGAGAAGAGGUCUUCGUCCCCUCCUGCAGAAGAAGAGAAGACAGGGCAGCAGGAGGAGGAGGUGGAGCAGGAGGAGAAAGGAUUUCACGGCUCUUAUCUUCCGUGCGGCAGCAGACGAGAGGACCGGAUCAGGCCCGGAUCAGGACCUCCAGGACCGGAUCAGGACCGGAUCAGGACCUCCAGGACCGGAUCAGGACCUCCAGGACCGGAUCAGGACCUCCAGGACCGGAUCAGGACCGGAUCAGGCCCGGAUCAGGACCUCCAGGACCGGAUCAGGACCGGACCCGGGAUGUGACCCCUGACCCCGGACCCGCUGGGGCGGUGAACGGCCAUGGCCGGCGAGAGGUAGCGCUGUGGAUACCAUGGAAACCGAGAGAGAGAAGUCUCCGUCCAAGAGGCCCUGAGGAGAGAGCCCAUCUUGACACGCUUUGGUGACGCCAGAGAGAGAGAGAGAGAGAGAGAGAGAGAGAGAGAGAGAGAGAGAGAGAGAGAGAGAGAGAGAGAGAGAGAGAGAGAGAGAGAGGGAGAGAGAGAGAGAGAGAGAGAGAGG